GAUGAACGCUGGCGGCGUGCUUAACACAUGCCAGUCGAACGAGAAGUGAAGACGGAAACCUUCGGGCGGAAGGCUUUAUUUCGAGUGGCGGACGGGUGAGUAACGCGUGGGUAACCUGCCUCAUACAGGGGGAUAACAGUUGGAAACGACUGUUAAUACCGCAUAAGACCACAGCACCGCAUGGUGCGGGGGUAAAAACUCCGGUGGUAUGAGAUGGACCCGCGUUCGAUUAGCCAGUUGGCGGGGUAACGGCCCACCAAAGCGACGAUCGAUAGCCGAGCUGAGAGGCUGACCGGCCACAUUGGGACUGAGACACGGCCCAAACUCCUACGGGAGGCAGCAGUGGGGAAUAUUGCACAAUGGGGGAAACCAUGAUGCAGCGACGCCGCGUGAGUGAAGAAAUAUUUCGGUAUGUAAAGCUCUAUCAGCAGGGAAGAACAUGACGGUACCUGAGUAAGAAGCCCCGGCUAACUACGUG
rnacentral:rRNA from 1 species